rnacentral:rRNA from 1 species
UACAGAGGUCUCAAGCGUUGUUCGGAUUCAUUGGGCGUAAAGCGCGCGCGGGCGGUUUGGCAAGUCAGGGGUGAAAGCCCGGGGCUCAACCUCGGAACGGCCUUUGAGACUGCCAGACUUGAGACCGGAAGAGGAGAGUGGAAUUCCCAGUGUAGAGGUGAAAUUCGUAGAUAUUGGGAAGAACACCAGUGGCGAAGGCGGCUCUCUGGUCCGGUACUGACGCUGAGGCGCGAAAGCGUGGGGAGCAAACAGG